rnacentral:lncRNA from 1 species
AUAUUCAACCUAUCAUUCCCUACGACCGAAUAGAAAGAAGCACGACAAACCCGUGGACUUAGCAUGUAAGAAUGAAUCAAAUGAAGUACCCCAGCUACUUAAGAUUUUUCUAGCAAUCAAACAUACUUGCUUUCAAAGUAAACCCAGCAUCCGAUGAAUCAACAUCUCUGCACAUGAUGCUGCAUUUCCCGUGAUGUCAUCUGGAAUGCUGGCAACUUUUAUGCCAUUUUCGGUGACUGCGUCCACAUCAACACCUUCAUGAAGAUGUAAAUGUUGAGUACUAAAUUCAAUUAAGAUCUAACAAAACAUAGUAAUUAUACCGACAAAAUAAACUAAACUCCCCCAGCCCGACAUACGCAAGCAAGCAGGGGCAGACACCGUCCAGACCGACACCAAAUUGCAAUUUAAACUUCAAUUGUUUCACUCGAGCUAUAGUAUCUGAGUCAAGGCACUUGCUCUUCACCACACAAAUAUGGUAGUUUCCUAUAACAUGAGGCACAUCAUCAAGGGCCACCUCAUCGACCUAAGAAAAUGGAAAACAGAUGAAUGAAUUUGGAAACAUAUGAAACAAUAAGUCCUUACACUGUCAUUAACUGAAGUACACUAAUUAACGAGGACAUAUUUACAUUUAAACAUAAGACCAAACCAAAUGUGCAAACUUGAACAUGCUUUUUUAUUCCUAGUCUGUUAUUUAUCCAAAGGCAUGUGCUGGCGACAAUGGGAUCGUUCCAGCAAGUUUAAGUAGGACCCCAACAAGAGCAGAUUGGUUUUUAUUUCAGCCGAGAAAAUAUCAUCACCUACUACAGUUCCUCAAAGUAAAUAAUUCUACAAUUUUACAAUGAUCAGAGGCAGAAAUGAGAUAUCACUUCAGUGCAUUAGGUAGUUGAAAUCUGGCUCUACAAAUGGAUGCAAAAAUAAUUGGAUGGCAUCAAGACCUCAAAGGUGAUACAAUCAAAUCCCUUCUUACCACUCAAAACACAUCCAGAUAACUCCACCAACCACUCCAAAUGAAGAAAGGGAAUCAUUAAGCAUUUCCCUCCACUUCCUUUGAGCUUGUGAAGCUGUAACUCUUGCUACACAGACGGGGGAGGGGGGGGGGGGGAGAAGGCAGGGAUGUUGACAUACUUACAACUGGGGACUGGUGAUGUAGAGAAUGAGAUAGAGUUUGCAGCCUCCACAAUCUACACCUCCCUUUCCUCCUCAAUAAUUGCUGCAGAUGGGUUUUGUUAAAUCACAUCAUAGUUUUUCCACAGAGGUCUGCCAGGUCUCUCAAAAGGCAAAAGGUUUGCAGACUUUGUCACUGAGCACAACUCUUCCUCUGGAAAAGUAUUUUAUCCAAUGAACUAAUCAUCUAUGAAUGCGACAUAUCUCAUCAGUAUGAAUCCCAUCUUAUUCGACGUCACUUGAAUGGAAUGAAAUCCCACAACUCAUCACAACAUCGAGUACAUAUUCAUGCUAUGGCAUUGGAGAAAGAGCGUAUUCUUGUCAUCCUCCAAGUUACAUCAAAACAUUGCUUCUCGAGUUUGAAGGUUUUUCGACUGGAGCUCAUUAUGUAGGAUUAUAACAUCAGGACGAUUGAUCAACUUUAAUGCCAUUCACCUCCCCAUGGCCUUUGCUCAUAUCUCCAGCAGCGCGACAUGGUUCCCGAUCAUUCAAACCCAGCGGCACCUUUUCUUCUACUCCAUGUUCCCUGAUAUCAACUAAGUGAGAAUUGAAUACCAGUGAUUUUCUGGUUCCCAGCACUUCAUCUUUCCUAAGAAAUUUAUUUGCCAAGACUUUCCUGCUAGCAUCAUACAGUGGGACCUGAAUGAUCCAAGGGUAUACAAUAAUGAGCAGAAGUUAUUCCAGGACCUAUAAAGAAGGAUUGCUUAGGGCCUUAUAACUUUUUUGGGUAGUGAAAUGCACUUGAAUUAAUGUGAUGGUUGGGUCACAUAAUGAACCACUAUUCCAAAAACAAAAGUGAUUCAUGUUGGAUCAGCAAACAAAGUAGCCAGCCUAGUUUAAUUAAAGAACAGUGGCAAAAGGAUGGUAACGUCCUUGAAAGUGCUUCGGAAUGACCUGCCUCCCUAGGGAUCCGCGAACUUCAUGCUGCAAAAAACCAUCAUGGUAUUUCCUGGCCUUUAGAGUUUAUUUGUGUGGUGUACAAAACUUGCCAUUCUACGUGACAGGGAAGUGUCAAUAUCCAUGUAGGAUAUGCUCAGUUAAACUAACACAAGAAUAAUGGAAGUACACCUGCAAAAGAACAUUCGUAUGCCCAUGCGUGAUUGAUUGAACUUGCGUUGGAAAUGACUGAAGAAUAAUAAUGAACUUGUUAUUGAUUUUGUGAUUUCCAUAACCUCAAGCUAAGAGGAGGCAGUAAAUGCACAGCUAUAACAAGAACGUAGUUGGCUAGUUAAUGGAAACUUCAUUAGAAAAUCUAUUAGCAAGUAGAACGAACAACUGGCUAAGUAAUGAAAACUUCACAAGAAAUUGUAAGCAUAAAAGAAUACCCUGAGGAUUCCAUGUAACUCGGUUCAUUGCCCUCCUCUUUUGCACGAGGUUCUCGUACUUGUGACUCAUUCUUAAGUACCUAGAGCACGGUGCUAGAGCUAGGAAAUUCUCAGGAACGUAACCAGUCAAGGUGAAUUAUGGAUUUUUCAAAUGAACGGACACACUUAGACCUUCUCUGAAGCACAAAGCCAAAAACUCAAUAGAUAGUUUUAUAUUAUUGGUGAAGCUUUUAUCUAUUAUGAAUUUUUCUUUUUGAACUAAAGUGUGAUUUCUGUCAUAUGUAAGGAAUUUUAAGAAUCCAUCUGGUUAAGCAGUAUAAUGUCUUGCCUAUGAAAAGUGCAACAAAGUCUCCUAACAGGCAACUUUGAUUUCAUCAACCAAAAUUUUUUUGAGAUCACGAUUGCAUUAGAACAUGCAACAAACGUAGAGAUAAGGCAACUAGUAAACACUAGUGGCAAACUGAAUAUGCAUCUAAACAGAGUCUGACCUGUUACCCCUGAUUUUCCAGCAUCUAAUAUACUCACCUUUGCCCUAUUCUGAUGCAUCUUGGCCAUUUUUUUUUCUUCUGAAAGAGUAUUAAUGAAUACAUGUUUUAGUGCAUCACAAACACAAUCAGGUAAUUAUUGUAGAUCAUGCAAAACAUGAAGAGAAGGGAAUCAUGCUCCUCAACAGAAAAGAAAGAGAUAGCAUGGAUAACAAUGAUGAUUUUCAAUUGUCCACUCUCUUUAUCUGGUCAAUGAAGAAAGUAUUAACUUCAAAUAAAAACAACAAAUUGAUUCAUGGCAUCUGCAAGUUCAAGGACUUGUGGAAAUCAUCCCACGUCUCAUGAACAUCCCUUGGACUUGUGUCUUUAAAGCUCCGAAUCACAAUGUGUUUGCAAUAUCAUUUUGGUGAGUAUGGAGUAUCACCCGAUUACAUCAAUUGCAGAGCAGCUAAAUGAUAGGGUCCAUAGGAUAUAAACAAUGAGGUAAAAAAUGUUGAUAAUCUAUUGGAAGUUUAAGACUUUAGGCUAGGAGGUAAGGCAAAUUACCUUCAUAUAAAGACUAAACAGGAAAAAUAAACACUAUAUAGAACACCAGGAAAUGGAUCAAAUUGAACUGUAUUCCAGGUACCUUUUAAAGCAGAUUUAACAUUAGUAACAUUAUGCUGCUGCUUUUGCAUAUUAAUUUUUGAAGAGAAUUGAAACUGUUUCCACACGCAUUUAGAUCCCUCAAAGAUUCAUCGUUUGCUGCACGGUUGCCAUGUUCAACCAAAUGACCAGGAAAUUCCAUCAUCUCCCCAGGGCUUACUUCUUUUUCAGCUUUGUUCAGGAACCUGCCAUCUAAAGGUUUCCAGCUCAUAUCAUACAAGAAAACCUCGUAAAAGACCCAAAUAAGUUUUCAAUCAUCUGAGCCAUAUUUAUCCUGACAAAUUUUUUUCACUAAUCUGCUGGGAAAGGUAUACGUCAUGACGAGGAAAACCAACCAUAAAGGAAAGAAGAGCUGAAAUUUAAUCCAGCAACAAGAUAGCCGGUAUUAUUUAAGGGUAAAAACCAGAAGGAGAUGUAGACUGGAGAGCUUGACCUGCCUAGUCAUAGAUCCACUGCUCGAGCAACUUAAGAAGCCAUCAUGACAUUUCUUCGACUUUUGAAUUAAUUGAGUUGUAUACAAGGCAUAUCAAUCUACAUCAAAAGGAAUAUUGUGUCAACUCCAGUGCCGAGACAACAAUAACACUCUUGAAUAUAACCGCAUAGAGAACAUUGAGACCAUUUUCUAAGGGAAGUUUGGAUAUAUGCUAAAAAGCUCCAAUAAAUUUUCAAGAGAAGCCACGAAAAUAUAUGAACCCACCUUGAUUGAGAAGACUUGAUAUACAAAGCAUCAGAGUCGAGGGAAUCUUUAUUGAUAUUGAAAAGAUUCUGUAUGUAAUAUAAAGAUGUGCAGAAACUGUAUCCCAAAAAAAACGAAGAACGGAUUCACAAUCCAGGAGAUACAUCAAGAGAAAGACAAGGCCUGCAUGGGUAUAGAUGAGUCAGAAAAAGUCCAAACUCACCUGUCAUAUUCGAUGUCCUUGAGAAGCCUUCAUUCAGAAUCAACAGAAAACGGGUAACCUUCUCCCCCUCUCUAAUCAGUCUGUACUGCUCGAGAGUCUCUUCGGGUCCUUUGAGCUCAACCUCAGCAGCCCCGAGCUCAUUCCAGAGAGAGGAGAGUCGGUUGAAGCAAGCGGUAACCGAUGGGUUCCCUUGCUUCAGAUCCGACAGAGCUUGAGCGAGCGAAAAUAACUUCGCUCUGUCCAACUUCCCAUACAUUUCUUUGAUGUCGUCCCACAUUUGUUUCGAAUCUUCAGUCGGUGGAGGGCCGGCGGCGAUGAUAUCAGCGGCCUCGCAGUUCCCGAUUCAGGUGCGCACGAGCUGAUUACACCUCCGCCAACAUCGUCGCCGCAUACGGUCGUCGUCGGGAACGGGCACAGUUCCAUCGAGGAACCCAUCUUUGUCCUUGGUCACAAGAGCCCGCCGGAAAUCUCGAGCCCACGCAUUGUAGUUGUCUGGACCGGUAAGUUGCAGGUUGAUGAUUCGGAGCUCCGGUCCGUUGGCCGGCGAGGUGUACAGAACGUCCCCAGCUUCUGGACGGUGGCCGGCGCCGAGGAUGGGGUACAGGUAGAACCCGGGUUGUAAUCCCAGGUAGGGAUUCAUCCCAUGACCCGUCGAACUCUAUUCGGAUCUGUGACCGAUCCAUCAAUUUGGGGCCCAUGAUUCGUACCUUCUCCAGAUGGGCUGUAAGGAGCCCAUUUUUGUCGAUUGGGUCCAACGGCCCACGGGCCUGGGACUGGAAACCACUGCAUUGGUGGCCAUUGGAUUGGUGCAGAGGUUGAACAGAUGUGGGCGAUGGAGCCGAAAGUUGUUGCUGCAAAUUCUGGGUUUGGUCAGUUUGAUAUGAAGCUAGACUCUCAGGAGAAUUGUUGGCGUCGAACGAUUCCUCCACAGGUGAGAUCAUCUCUUGGUCGUUGUUGCUGCUGCUUGAUUUGUUGCUUUGAUUUUUGGGCACGGUGUUUGAAUGUAUGAAUUCCUAACCGGUGUGUCAAUUUGUUUUGCAGAAAGAAAUUUGCAACAACAAUUGAAAAGACUACCGAAGGCAAUUCGGGUAUUUGCAGAAGUUUUUUUUUUUCUUUUUUUUUAGCAAGGGGUAUUUGCAGAAGUUAGGUCAGUACGCUUUUGCUCUGAUACCAAACAAAGAAAAUGGAGGAAAUCAAAUAAUAUUACAAUUCCUAUUACAUCUUCUAAAUAUUGUGAUGAUAUUUUGUGAUCAAAUCAAUUAUCCCACAAUCUCGUGAUUAGAAUCGAAGCUAAGAAUUAAAUCAUCUUCCAACAGUUUUCAGCGGUGAGUGGUGAUGGUGAUUGCAAUGAUCCGAGCAUUUUUCAAAUGUUGCCUAUAUGAUUUAAAACAGUGUUCGAGUGCAUGAAAUAGAAGCGGCAUGUUGCUUUGGGUUUGUAUGGUUCAAUUCUUGCAUUUAGAUUAAUGAUGAGAUGUAACAUAUAAACUGAAGGAGAAAAACGAAAAAGCGUAAUAUCGAUCAAAGGAACGAGCAACAUGAAAAAUACGACAAAGUAACUCCCAUGCAUCGGUCCUUCUUUACAAUUUUUCGUGCAGUUGUCCAUCAAAGGGGACCCUGAAAGACACAAGAAAAGAGACAAGGCAUUGGGGGUCAAAACGUGAAGCACGAAGCAAGAAGCAACCUCUUUCGUCUUUUGCCAUCCUUUGUAGAAUUCCUGGAACGAAUUUUUGGCUCCAACUGCUCAUUUCUUUUUCUUUCUUUUUUUCUUUUAACAAUUUCUCUUAAUUGACUACUCUCUCAUGGUGCGUUGGUCUUUCUUGAGAUUUUCUUUUCUUACAGCUAUCUGGGCAAAAGCUUUUUCUACAAAACUUGUCAUUUAUCUAACAAACUUUUUCUCCGUCUCUUGUGAUACUAAUUGCUUAAUCUGGUAGAUGAGAGGUCACAUCAUAAUCUUAUGGUAAUCCUUCUCUAAACAUGUGAAUGAAAGUAGCGAGAACGGGCCACCCCCAAUACUACUUUAAAGGCUUCUUAUAAAUUUAUCAGAAUCUUAUUAAAGAGUCUUUUAGGGCACUCAUUAAUCAGGUCUAAUAAAGAAAAUGAUCAAAAUUUGCCUUGAACUCCAAUUUCUUCAAGGUUUAAGAUGAACAAUCGUGUAGUUGGGGCUAAAUUUGGCUGAUGACCAGUCUUGAAAUUGGCUAUUUUAAGUAACCAAUUUGUUCUCAUGCACGCCAUGUAGGCUGAUGAUGUGGCGGCUAUUAACUAUUUCAUAUUUUCUUUCGGUUCAAGGUCUAAAAAUAGUUGAGAGAAUAAGUAUUGUAUCCUCUCUAUAAGUAUAAAGUUGUGUAUAGAAUAUUGCCGCCACAUGUUAAAGUAUUCAAUGGUGGAGUUUUUCAUAGGCAUUAUAGUCUUUUUGCAUCUAACUAAUUGCUUUCAAACUUUUGGAUUAUAAUCUCUAAUGUCAUAUCCACAACACUUAUAUUUUAGGCUAUGUUCCUUUCUUAAAAAUAACUUCCAAUAAAACAUUUUUUGGAUUUUUUGGUAUUCAUUUCAUGGAAAAUAAAUUAAUCGUGGAAAAUAUUUUCCAUCAAGGAAAAAAGAAAUAUUGUAAAAGAGGGUAAAAUGUUUUUCACUUUUAAAAUUGGGAAAAAUAUUUUUCUUACCCGCUCUCUCUCUCUCUUAACUCAUACCUUACUCGCCUCCUUUCCUGUUUUCUUUUCUAAUAAUUUGAAGUUUAAAUUAUUUUCCUUUUAUUUUUUUUGUCUUAAUUAUUUUUCUUUUUCUUUUUUUUCACCUUUUUCUUUGGCCGGUCCUUGGCAUGGCCGACUAUAGGCGAGCCUCGAGCUUGUUGGCCUCGAGCCCUAGGCCUCGCCUGGCUCACCGAUUCUAGUGAGCGGUGAGCUCAAGGCUUGCCAACCUCUGGCGAGUUCGAGCUCACCGCUCGCUAGCUUGGCGAACUAGUGGCGAGCAUGAGCCUCUAGCUCGCCGAUUUGGCGAGGCUAGAGGCCGGUAAGCUUGAGGCUCGCCCUUGUGCUUGCCAAUCUCUAGCGAGCAGCAAGCUCAAGGCAUGUUGGCUCGUUGUGAGCCACAUCAGCGAGCCAGCUUGCCUCUAGCUCGCCAAUGUGGAGAGGCCAAAGGCAGGCGAGCUUAAGCUCACUUGUCGCUGCUCACCAAUCGAAGUUGGCCUUUGGCCGAUCGCUGGCUGUCGUCGUGGUUGGCGAUCAGCAAAAGAAAAAGAAGAUAAAAAGAAAGAAAAAGAAAAAGAAAAAUAAUUAAAAAUCAAUUUUUAGAAAAAUAAUUUAAAAAUUGAUUUUAAAAAUUUAAAAAAUAAUAAAAUUAUUUAACAAAAUUCAUAGGAAAAAGGAUUUUCCUUAUCGAACAAUAAAAAAUAUUUUUCACUUCAUUUUUAGAUUUUAGACGAAUAGCGAAAAAUAAUGAUAAUUUUUUGAAAAAUGACUUUCCGAAAUAUAUUCUCCGAAAAUGCGGUGUUUUUCGUAAAACGAACGAAGACUUAGAGCCAAAACGUUUGAUUAUUAACUCGCUGUGAAAUCAAUAUAGCACUUCACUAAAUCUUUAGAAUGCGAGAAGUGCAUAUAUAAAAUUUCUAAAUUAAUCAUACAGUUCGAUCAUUGCAAUUUACCUUUGCUUUUGAGGAGUUGAAUUUGAUUAAAAUGGAUGAGCCUGAUUGAUGUGUGUAUACGUGUUUAUUAGGUGGUACGAGCCUUGAUAUAUCUUACCAUAGAUAUAAUCUACGGUUGUGCGUUUUUCCCACCACGUGAAAAAAAAAAAAAAAAGUUGCUAUCGGCAUUAGCUUGUGUGAAAACAAUUUGUUGACGACGCGUGAAGCAAAAUUAUGAUGGAUCAAUUCACGGCACAUAAAGUUAUUGGCCCUGAGAAAGCAAUCUUUUGACGUCAAGCGAAAAUAGGAUGAUUGAUGUUAAAUUAUUGCCGUCGGCCCAGGCGAAACCAAUCUUCUUUUGACGGCACAUAGAGCAAAAGAUAUGAGCAAAAGAUACGAUGCUGAAUAUUGCUCAUAGCCCGUGGUGAAACCAAUCUUUUGAAAGUCCGGUUAUGGGCAUGUUUGAUUUUCCAACCACUCCUUUUAGACCUAUUGCUAUAGCUGAUGUGACAUUACCGAUAUGCCUGUCGCCUAUAUAUAGUUUAGCUGUGGAGAGUGAUGAUGAGCACUUUGUCCCAAUCCUAGUGUAUUAAUGAGCAAUAAUCAUUUUGACUUAUUGUUUCGAGCUCGGUCGUAAAAUUGGCAGCAGAUCAUUCGGAGAGAUCUACGUCGGUGGACUACUCGCUAAUUGAUACUUAAUUUUUGCUUUAUUCGUUUUGCUUUUAGUUUGAUUUUGAUUGAAGUUUUUUUGGAUUGUUUUUAGGUACUAAGACUCAGACGAAUGAGAAGGGCGCAACUAAGUUUGUGAGUCGCUAACCGAUAUUUGGUUUUUUCUCUUUGCGUUCUACUUUUUCUAGUUUUUGCUCGUUUUAGUUACUUUAGUAUUGUUAUAGUCAUUGCAUUGAUAUUUUGUCGAGUUGAUGUUUUAUUUUUGCGUUCUAUAAAGCCAUGUGGACUGUGGCUUGUUUUGUUUUUUUUUUUUCUUGGGUCGUUUGAUUGACAUAGAUAAUGGUUCACUUGCUUCCAAUAAGUCAUUGAUGCUAACUUUCAAUCAUUAGAAUGAUUGUUAUUAACAAGUGGAAGCUUUCUUUGGUCUGUGACUUUCACAUGCAUGAGAAAAUUGUCAAAAAGAUCAGUAGGAAACGUAGACUGUAGAGCUUGACCUGCCUCGUAAUAGGUCCACUGCUUGUAGAACGUAAGAAGCCAUCAUGAUUCUUCGACUUUUGAGUUAACCGAGUUGUAUACAAGACAUGCCAAUCUAUAUCAAAAGGAAGAUUACGUCAACUGUAGUGCUGAGACCAUAAUAACAUACUUCGGGAAAGUAGCAGAAUAUUCAGACCAGUUUCUGCGGGAAAGUUUGGAAAUAUGCUAAGAAGCUCCCAAUGAUUUUCAAGAGAAGCCAUGAGAAAAAUGUGAACAUAAAACCGCCGUGAUUGAGAAGAAUUGAUACACAAAGCAUCAGAGUUGAGAGAACAUCUAUUGUCCUUGAACAGAUUCUAUGUGUAGUAUGAAGAUAAGUAGAAACUGUAAACCCAGAGGAAAUUAAGAAAUGAUUCACAAUCCAGGAUAUGACAUCAUAAGAAAUGAUAUAUGGCCAGGCAUGGCAUAUAUGAAUCUGCAAAAGUCCAAACUCACCUGCCAUACUCGAUGUCUUGAGUUGGGACCUCCUGGUAAUAUGCCAUACUUGUUCAUUUCAUUCUUCUCGAAUUCUGGAAAAGGAGAAACACAGAUGCUAAGUUUUGUACCCAGCAUUUACUAGCUAUCAAGAGAGUUAGAUUAUGAAGGAUUUCAUCACCAACCUCUAAUAAUUUUCUGUGAUGGGCUUAGGCUGAUCAUCUGCUGUUUAUUCUUCUUUACUUUGGUCUUCUCAUCUUCUUAAAACGUAAGUGAAAUGGAUUAUACAACAACACAGGCAGAUAAUCACAACAUUGCGACUGUACGAGUAUGAGUUGUCAAAUUUCAAAUCAUUAGAGACAACAACAUGAGGAAAAACAAAUAUGUAAGAACACACAAUACUGGCGCAACCAGAUACUUUGACGAAAUUGUUUCUGUGAAGCGAAGUUGUUCGCUUAGGAACUUUCUUUGCUCGGCUGUGAAUAUAAGUAUCAUUGAGAGGCUUUUGCCCUGCUUCAGGCUCUCCAACAUCAAUCAAAUAAGCAUUGAACGUCUCACUGGAACAAACAACUUCGUUCUUGAAAGUCCUGCAUUCCAACACCUGCUUGCUGUCAUCAUACAGCAUUACCUGUCAAAAAUCCAACCAUCAAUCACGGCAUGGCCUAAUCCACUCAGAACAAGCUCAAUCACGGAGAGCACAAGGACCAAAACCACAGAACAAAACAAUCCGCGAGGACAGUCAAAAUUGAAAACCUAUGCAGCAUCGAGCUGUUGCUAUCAAGCAUUUCUUCUACCUGCGGAGAGAAUAUAUACCUGUAGACUUCUCCAUUACUCCAUUCUUUUCUUGGGGUGCUUUUCUUGCGUCGGGGGAUGUAGAAUAUGCAUUAGCAAUGCAAUAUGCAACUUUCUAAGUACUUAAUUCCUUUCCUUUCUUCUUUGCAACUUGCAGGCCUAUAUGUUCACAGGUUGUUAACGCAUCAGAAGUGAAUUCUCAAGUCAUUCUCUAUCAUAAUCUCCAGUGAUCAAAGUCUGAGCAGUGCAAUACCAAUGGCUGAGUCUGUUGUUUCGUUCGCGGUGGAGAAAAUAGGAAACUUGGACCUGCACAGCGAGCUGAGGCAGGUCCAGGCCUUGCUGAUGGAUGUGGAUGCAAGACGAGAGCGCAAGGAAGCUGUAGAAGAAUGUGUCGCACAACUCCGAGACUUUGCCUAUGAUGCUGAGGACGUCAUCGAGAGAUACUACCUCAAAGCGGCGCUGACGGAGGGACAAAACAUCAUCAAAGCGUAUGCUUGCUUCAUGGCGAAGUGCUCGUGCGUGCAGGUUCAUGAGGUGGGGACAGAGAUCGAGGGCUUAAAAUCCAGAAUUUCCGAUAUUGGUAAUAAGAUGCAGAAAUAUGGCAUACAACCUCUGCAUGAGGGCGAACGCAAACGCGCGAGAGCUUCGCUGCCGAAACGGACUUAUGCCCAUUUCCAGGAGGAGGAUUUGUCGGGAGGGAAGAUGGUAUCGAGGCGUUGGUAAAAGAGCUAAAGGAUGGAAAACACAGAGUUGUUGCUCUAUGGCGAAUGGGUGGUUUGGGAAAGACCACACACGCUCAGAAAGUCUUCAAUCACGACAAAUUGAAGAACCAUUUCGAUGGUUCUGCUUGGGCUUGCAUAUCUCAAGAAUAUCACGUGAGGAUAUCUUGGAGGGAAUUCUUGUUAAGUUGAUCCCUAACAAAAGAGAAGAGGUUACGGAUAUGAGAAAUGACGAAUUGGUAGAAACUGUAUACAUGACCCAAAAACAGAAGAGAUGUAUCGUGGUUCUUGAUGAUAUUUGGACCAAACAGGCAUGGGACAGUCUUCAAGCCGCAUUCCCGAUCAAGGACACGAGAAGCAAGCUAUUGAUAACAACCCGCAAUAAAGAAGUAGCGGAGCAUAUCAAUCCUCAUUGUUUUCUCCAUGAACCUCAGUGCUUAUCGCACGAGGAGAGCUGGAUUUUGCUAAAGAAGAGGGCAUUUCCUGAAGUGAAAGGUAAGACUUCACUAAAGUUAUUAACCUAACAUAUUGUGGCUUCAAAGGAUUAUGUUGCCUGCUUGAUUAUAAUUUAUGACGCUUCUAUAAUUAUUGUCGGAUUAGCUGUUGAACUUUCUUCUGUUGGGCUUGGAGUUGGUCGAGGUAUUGCCGUGGAUCAAGUUGUAGAAGGUAUUGCAAGACAAUCAGAGAUGGAGGGACAAACACCAGGUACUUCAUUGCUCAAUUUGGCCUUUCGGAGGCUUUCGCAAUUAAUCAAUCAAUAUUUACAGUGGAGUUCAAAUGAUCAAUAUAUCAAGUAUUAGACACCGUAAUUUCAAUAUUUGAGGAAUCAGAUGCACCUUUUGUUUCUCAAUAGCUGACAAUUGUACCUCUAAGCCAACAUCCAAAACUUUGCUCCUCUUGUCCUCCAAUAAGGAUAAAUAUCAAAAAAGCUUUCAUUUGACCAUCAUAAUAAGUAAUUUUGAUAGGAUUUAUGAAAUAAUAUGAAGCCUAGCUAUGUUACUUUCCAUAGGCUUCAUUUUAGGUCCACAUUUUCUUGCAUUUGUGAAUAAUUGGCUUAACAAUAAUACUUGGAAUUGUUAUGAAAAUCGUGAAUCUUUAUGUGACAAAAUAGAGUGACAACAUGAAGAUUUCACUAGAAUUUUGAGGGAAAUCGGUAGCACAUUCAAGUCACGAGUGAUAUAUCCCUUCGUUGCUUUCAUUUUUCUUCAUUGAGUAGGAUUAUUGUUGUUAUACAUAUGCUCAAGUCAAUUAAUUCAAGCAACAGAUAACAAAGACAAUACAUUCCAUUAGUCAAAUGAGUGUUCUUGAUCUUUCAGACGUAGAUGGAGGCAUAUAUAGGAGCUUUGUUGGGGUCUCUAUAGUUUUUCCCCUGACAAAAGCAUAAAUGAACCAUAGAACAUAAGGAACUACAACAUCCAACUCAUAUAUCAAAAAGCAAAUAUUUGUCCUCGAAGUUAUCUUCUUAUGACAGUUGCAUCUUCCUACUACUAUCGAGUUUCAAUUUAUUACUUGAUAUUAUGUAGAAAUCACUAAAGGCAUGAAGAAGUUAGGAGAUGAACUCCUUGAGAAGUGUGGGGGAUUACCUUUGGCUGUUAUGUGCUUGGUGGACUUUUGGCAGACAACGAGUGGGAGACGGUUUAUAGAAACAUCAAUUUGCAUUUGAGUGAUAAGAGUAUUUUAUUUGAAGUUUUGGCCUUGAGCUAUGAUGAUCUACCGUGGCAUUUAAAGCCAUGUUUCCUCUAUUUGGGUAGCUUUCCGGAGGAUGCAAAAAUCCCUGUGAAGACAAUCCUUCGCAUGUGGAUUGCUGAAGGCUUUGUGCUGCCUGAUGACGCAAAGAGAGAAAUUACAAUGGAAGAUGUUGCAGAGCAAUAUUUCAUGGAGUUGGUUAAGAGGGGGUUGGUCCAAGUAUGACUCAACUGGAAUGGAAAUAUUGGAACCUGCCGCCUCCAUGACUCGACGCGAGAGGUAUGUGUCUCCAAGACUAGCCAUGAGAGGUUUCUAAGCUUUCGUAAAAUUCAACAUGACAAUGAAAGGGAGGGUAGUUCUUCAAUGGCUUGCAGAACACGAAGGAUUUCUCUCACUAUGAACGGGAUUGGUGAAGGAAACAUAACUCUGAGGGUGGAACAAAUAGGAAGGACUAUGCUCCACCUUCGAACUCUUUUGUUCUUCCAAUCUAGGGGAUGUAAUUGGGAGCAAUUUCAACCAAUUUCAUCAAUUAUAAGUUUCUCAGAGUUUUGAAGCUGGACGAUCUUGAUGGGAAAGUAGGAAGUCUACCUGAAUCAGUGGGAGACCUAGUCCAUCUAAGAUUCUUAAGUUUAGCACGUAGUGGGUUUACGAGCUUGCCACAAUCUAUGGGAAACCUUGCAUGUAUGGAAUUCUUGGACUUGGUUAUGCUUCAAUAUAUUAGAAUUUCCAUCCCAAAUGUGUUGUGGAAGAUGAGAUGGUUGAGGUAUCUCCGUCUUCCCUACAAGUUUGAUGUCAAGGAGAAAUUCCAUGGGGCCCAUAAGAAGUUGCGGUUGGGCACUUUAAAGAAUCUACAGACAUUGAGAAACUUUAGUCUGAAGGAAUGUGAUGUGAAUGAUGUGGGCAAGCUUACCAAUCUGCAAAAACUGACUGUCGUUGAUUCGUAUGAUCCGCAACUUGCUAAAUUCAAUUUGAAACAUCUUCAAUCCUUGACUAUUUAUUUCGCGCAUUCUUAUAAUUCAUGGACUGAAGGUGAACUGAGUAAAAUAUCAAAUUAUCCCCACUCAUGUAAGCUAUUCAUUAAUGGAAAAAUAGAGAAGCUGCCAGAACAUAAGAGUCUACCUCAACAAUUGAGGAAGCUGGUCUUAAUAUGUUCCCAACUCAAAGAAGAUCCAAUGCCAAUAUUGGAAAAAUUGAAAAGCUUGGUUUUUCUCUUUGUGGGAUAUUAUGCUUUAUGGGGAAACGAAAUGGUUUGCUCCGCAGGAGGCUUUCCUCAACUCAAGCAUUUAAUUUUUUAUGCAUUACCUAAUUUGGAGGAGUGGAGAGCCGCUGAAGGAGCCGCACCUCAUCUUUCUCGAUUAGGGAUUGAGCAUUGUCCUAAAUUGAGGGUGGUACCUUCACAUGUCUCUACAUAUUACGGUGGGGACGAAAUAUACAACGAGCUAAAAAGGUGGCCUCAGCUGUCUAGCGGGAGAGGAGGGAGAGGGGCAUGAGCUUAUGGGCUGUUAAGGGGGUGGUACCUCAAGAAUAAAUAUCUAAUCUCAUAUAUCAUGAGUGGAAAUAGAGUAUUAUGGCAUUCCUUGACAAAUUAUUUUCCAUGUCUUGUUUCCAUCAUAAAUCAUCAUUCGUUUCGGUUUCUCUCUCAUCCCUAAGGACUUGCAAGCCAGUGGGGGGUGGAACUGGAUUCGCUCGCUGUCGGGAGAACUCAGCGACUUUGCUCAUGGAAGACUGCAAGGUUCUCGCGAGCACUAUGAGGAGGAGGAGGAGGAGGAGGAGGAGUGAAUUCGAUGCGUCUCCAAAAGACGGCUAACAGGAGGCAUUUGAAGAAAUAAGAGCCGUCGCUUGUGGUGUUGGUGUUGAAGUAGUUAACUUCAAGUUUUUUUUAUUUUAUUUUUUAUGUGCUUUCAGUUUUUAUGUUUCUUCAACAAUGUAAUAAUGGAGUCUUAGUCAAUAGGAAGUGGCUUGUUUUCAGGAGUUUGUUUCUACACAUGUUCUGGUUAGUGGGGUAUGUUAGUGGGUGUUUUGUUGCUAUUCUGUAACUAUUUUCUUGCUAAGUGGUUUGGAUGUUCUGCCUAUUUAAUAGGCUUAUGCUCUGAUGAAUAGUAACGAGCAUUAGCAAUUCUCUUGUGUGUCUUCUUCUCUUUGAUUAAAUUCAACAGUUGGAAGACAUCAUCGUGGAAGCUGAUGCAUUGCAGAGGAGAGGAGAUCCAAUCAUUUCCCUAGUGCUAGAAAGAUGUUUGACGAAAUGCGGAUGUGGAAUAGGAACUGGGGUACAUUAAUGGGCGUGUUGCUUUUGGCUUGUGCAAUUGAUUUCUUUGUCUAUAGAUAAACGAUGACGAGAAAUACAACCGUGCAUUUUGCAUCUCCCAGUCUCCUACAUUUUUCUUUUGUUUUUAUUAGUAUCCCUGUCUCCUACAUGUAAAAGCUGCAAGAUAUACUUUAAAGAUUCUUUCAUAUAAUUUAAAGAUUCUUUCAUGUGUGCUCACAUUAAUCUUUCCCUUUGAACGACGGUGAUGAAAUUGUUGGAUCUAACGAGAAAGCUAUGAUUAUUUGUCAAUUGGUGACCCACGGCAAAUGUUGCUCUUCUCCUGCGACCAAGAACUUGCAGUAUAUAUAAGGAGGUAAAUAUUAUGAGAAGAUUUUGGCUAUCUCUACGUGGAAUUCUAUUCUCAAUUGACUAAUUUAGUCAAAAAGAUAAUAUCCGCUCUUGUAUUAGUUCAGAUCUUCAAAGGGUGUCAUAAAAUAUGUUCUAUUGAGUUGCUAAUCUAUGUCCUCUUCAAUUAUUACAAUUUUUUUUUCCUUCUGGAAUCAAGGAUUGAUGUUAAACUUACGCUUACAACAUCCACGUGUCACUUGGCCAUUGCUAUCACUCUGCUAAGUUCAAACUUGGCAAUUUGUGCUCGGUAUGGAAACCUUGUGCUUGAAAAAGUGUUUCGAAGUGUGUGUGGAAGAAUUUAUCCACAUAAAAGCUGUAUUGUGGAGACUGAACAAUGGCAUAUGUUAGCUAUUGGAAUGCAGGAGCAUCCCCAAUGGCAGAUUAAGAGCAGGUUUGUAUAUUUUCAGAAGGCCAAGGAAUCUGCAUCUUCGAAGGAAAUUCCUUCACUAUAGCUUAUCAAUCAGACAUUGGGUUAUACAAGAGAGCUGGAGUGGAUUGUUUAGGACCUGCGACAGUGCACAGUGGUUUGCGUUGGUAUUUGCACACUUUGUGUGACAUUCCAGAUUUCAGUCUCGUAUUCUAUUGAAUAAAUCGAGCAUUUCAUUAGGGCUAUUCUUAUAGCUGAUCACUCUCGAGAUAACUAAACUAUCUGGGGAAGUCAUUAAGGAAUUUUAAGGCAAUAGACUUGAUAAUUCGACUAGGAAUCGACUUCUCGACCGUGUCUUUAGAAGCUAUUAUGGCACAAUUAAAAAUCGAUUUGAAAUUAGAGAUAAGUUGGUUCGACUGAGAUGUGUGGCUAAUCGUGGGUGACACCACUAAAUUAUGAAAUUCUCGUCGGCCGACACUAGACUGAUUUUCUUAUUAUUUUGGUACUCUGUGUCCGUAUUUGAAUCCUCGAGAUUUUAACAAUAACCGAGAGUUGCCAAUAACUCGAGUGGAUUCAUUGUGGCUCAAAGAAAAUCAAUCAAGGGUCAUUUGCACUGAAAAAUUUCUGAAAGUUACUCAGUAACUUAGGUCACGCUAAAAACGUGCCGAAUGACAAUUAACUGUGAAUUUGAGUCUGAUUUCAGAAAUUAAAGAUUCUGUCAUGUCACAAUAAAUUCUAGAAAUGUCGACUCAGUCUCAGAAGAUUUUUUUGCAAUCCGAGAUUUUUUUUGGAAAAAGUCGACCUACGGCCAUUUUUGUUCAAAAAAAGCCGGGGAUCAUUUUUUAUCACGAAUUUGGGAAGCAAGUGGGAUCAAUUAGUGAGGAAAAAUACCAAUUUGAUCCUUGAGGUGUCAAUUGAAUUUGUGAGAGUCAAUUGAGAUUGAAUUGAGAAAGAAAUGAAGUCCAAUUGAAGCUAACUCAUGUCAAAUUCGUAUGCCCCCUUGCCUAGCGCAUUUUGGACCAUUUCAAAGGUUGUGAGGGGUGCAUGGUUGGCUGAAUUGAAGCCAAUGAAGAAAUGGGUGGUAGUGGAUGGUCAAGGAGACAAGAGAAUGGAAGAAAUGGCCCUUGGUGGCCCCUUUGUCCGCCAUCUCUCCCUCUCUCCCUUAUACAUUGUCCAAGUCCUCUUCCUCCUCCAUUGAAGCUGCCGUGCGAAGACUAGAGGUGCAGGAGAGAAGUUGGAGUAGCCGCACCACCACCGGACUGCAAGCCGCAUGCUGUCAUCGCCGAUUCUACCCCUGUCCGCGUGCCACGCGAGCCACCGCCCAGCCGUGCGUGUUCCUGCUCCGUUCCGCCGGUUUGCCUCCGACCCUCGUGAGUGCCCACCAAGGCCCAGUUUGGUCCUUACAUUCUUCCUCGAUCAAUCCCCGCCCUAAACCGAACUUAUGGUCUUUUGUUUUAGUAAGUACAUAACAGAAAAAUAGUGGGUUUUAGAGAUGUUGUUUGGCCCGUUGUGAGGUGGUUCCAGGCCCCGAAGGCUAGGCCUGCUUUGGAGUUUUCUGUCCCCCGCGACGUUCUUGACGAUUUGAUCCGAUCGUAUCUCGAAACAAGUGAGUUUAACUCACUAAACCUCGCUUAGUGGGUUAAUGAUGUUUAGAGGUUGAUUAGAUUUAAUUAAGUGCAAUUAGGUAGAUAUAUUAGAUUAGGUUGAUUAAUUUAGUGCCUUAUCCAUGCAUGUUAGGCAAAUGAUUAGUGUAAUUAACAAGGAAAUAUGUUUUAGUAUUUAUUGAAUGAACCUCAAAAAAAAUUUGGGUCCGUUUCGGCAUCCAAUUAGGCAUUACGGGCCUAAAUUGGAUUUAUAGGCAUUUAUUUAAUUUUUUUUGUAAUUAUUUAAUUAAUUAAUUAUUUUUCAGAAAUUAGACCGUGAUAGUCGGUGACCGAAUUUUUAUGUUGAUUAUCGUGGUGUAGUCUAUUUAUUUAUUCGAGCUUUAAUUUGUGCUGAAUUGAUUUAAUUGUGAUUUUAGAAUUUAUUCCUAAAUUAAUUAAUUUUGGUAAUUAAUUGAAAAAUUACCAAGCGUUGGUCUAUAGUGCUAAAAAUCUAUUUUUGGACUACUAAAAGGAGUGGAUGAUUCAAAAGUGAAAUUAUUGUAUUUUGGCUAAGGCCGACCAUGUACCCACACAUGGCUAUUUUUAUCGAGUAUGAUAAAAAUGAUAUAUUGAUUGUAUGGUGGUAGUGGUAUACUAUAAUGGCCCAAGAAUCUUAUUUUAUUAGCUUUGGGCGAGCAUAUAAAUAGUAUACCAUAAUAUCAGCUUUGGGCGAGCAACUUAUUAUCAGCUUUGGACGAGCAUAUAUAGUAUACUAAAUUGGUUCGGGAGCCUUAAUCUAUCAACUUUGGGUGAGCAUAUACAUAGUAUACUAUAUUAUCAACUUUGGGCGAGUUAUACUAUCUAUAUUUUCAGUUUUGGGUGAGCGGUCCUAAUUUGAUAGAACCUUAUAGAUAGUAUUAAAUGUAUCAACCGGGUAAAGGUUGUGAUGACAUGUAAUUGACUAGGUCGAUUGAUUAAUGUUUUGAUAUGAUGUUUUGAAUUGAGUGGUUGAUGUGAUUUGAUGCAUCUAUAAAUGAUAUUGAUUUGCAAGAUCGAAUUGAGGCCAAGGUAAGUCCUCUGACUUGUGUUAUGCAUAGGCAGCCCUUAUGGCGUAUUGGUUUCCUAAUUGAGUUUUAGGGGUAGAAUUUGCUAAAACAUUGUCUCACCCCGUUGUGGGAUAACAUUUCAAUCUCCUAGAUGGCAGUACCUUCACCUCCUCAUCCUCCCAUGCAUUUUGGUAUUCCCGAGGAGAUCACAAAGAUAAGAUACCACUUCCAUAUACAUAGCCACCCCGAAGGACUGGAAUACAUACUGAUCAAGUCCACUGUCUGGGUUGACGUGAAUAAACCCGAUAAGAUGCCCCAUGAGUAUCGGUCAUGGUACCGUUAAUACCAUGAUGGGCGAAGAGAGGGUCUUAUACCAGAAAGUGAUGUGUCUUUGCACGUACUGGAAUAGGCGUUCGGAGAGAGGACGACAGAUCCUAAGGAUGGGUUAGUAGUGGAUGCAAAGGAUCCCUAGCUCAACGAUCCUGAAUCCUCGGUAUACUAUAACAUGGACUCCAAUUAGGGUGUCAAAGAAGGAGUGGACGUCGAAGAGGAGGAACCUGAUGAGGAGCUUGAGAACGAACUUAAUGAGGAGCCUGAGAACGAACCUGAAGAGAAGGACUUUGAAGAAGACCCUAAAGAUGAAGAAGAGGAGGAUCCAGAGAAUGACCCGGAUGAAGACUAAGACCCCAUCCUGCUUUGCAAACUCUAAGUUGUGAUCUAAUGUGUGAUAGGUUUGACUUGUGAAUAGUACUGUAAUAUAUAUUAUGAGGUUUGCUUGUAUAAAAGCGUGGUUAUGGUUUUUCAGGUUUGAAAAAUAUGGCCCUACUUUUCUAUCCCAUUGUUUUAUUGUUUAGGAAUUUCUUUUCUACUUCCGCAUGCGUAUUAAAAUGAAAGGGUCGGCGAUGCGUCCUCUAACGUAGGAAUGGGCACAUGCCCGAGGAUUGGGGUGUGACACUUUGAAGAUUGGUUAUUUUGUGCUGAUGGCAUCUCAUCCCUUUUGCUCUUUUUGAGAAAUUUGAUACUGAUUCUUAGUAAUCAUGUCCAUUUUGUUGUUGAAUACAAUUUUGUAUUUGGUAUGUAGUAUAUUUUCCUUGGUUUACCUGCUUGGAAGAACUAGAAACUGAAAUCAGUCUAGUCACAUGGAGAUGGACAACUUGGCGAAUGUAUAUGUCGUUCUUAAUCAGUCUAACCUUAUGAAUAGGCCUAGAUACAAUUAGGUUUAAUUUGUUAUGGUAGAAUCAAAUAUAUGCACACUUGAUGACAUCAAUUGUCUCCAUUGGUCAAAGAGUUGCAAAGCAUUGACAUAGGAAGGCCAACUAGGGUUGCUUGUGUCCAGUUCAAUUUUUAGUUCAGUAGGUUGAAAUAGCCACCGGCUAUGGGCUUGUGCUUGCUCCUAAUUGAUGGUAUUCCGAAGAGACGGCAUAGGAGAAUCAUAUAAGAAAUUUCUUUUCCCCUUAUUUUUUCCUAGACUCUGGAUUGAGCUCCGUGAACAUGUGAUUUUGCUUUCUAUAUUUGCUGCAUAACACUCUCAAGACUGAGCAGAGUCAAUGAAUCUAGGGUUUGCAAUUUGAUAGUCUUGAGUGAUCCAUGAUGUAGCCUUUGCAUGGCAAAAUCAUUGCUAAGGGCCAUUGCCCCUCUCUGAUAAGUGAUGUUCCUCUUGCUGCGAAAGAACAAUGAAAGUCAUCAUUAGUUUGCUUAAUUGAUACUUCUGACGGACCGAGGAAAAGCAAGAGGAAGAAUUUAAUGGGUGGGUAUGCAACAAUGGUCCGCCUCUUCUGAAUCAAGGCGUUAUGAUGAAUUAACUCCUUGCUGUUAGGAUGUGACCAUCAUUGAUGGAUCUCGUCAUAUCUUAUGAUGAUGCAAUACUAAACAUUUGAGGAAUUCAUAACCACCCAAAUGUUUCCAAUUUCUUAAUACUUAUUUUCUUGUUUAUUCCUUCCGUUUUUUUUUUAAAAUUACCGUUGGCUUUUCUUGUUUCUUUUUAGUAGGCCCUUUUGCUCCACAAUGCAUGUUUUGUUUCCAUCCUUACAGUGUUCUGUCUUACUCGAUCUUCAAGAUGACAAUACUAAUAAAAAGCUGACAAGUGCAAAGACUUUGCCACCUCGCUUUUCAUUGGGUUUACAAGAUCUUUUGCAAAACUGCACUUUCACUGGAUUUGCAUGCAUAGUGGACCACGGCGAAUGCUUGAGACUUAUAUAGAAGAUGCAUGACAUAAGUUAGAGUUGGUUUAUGGUGAGAAAGAUUAAAUGUCAUUCAGUUGCUGAAUUGAAUGUGGAAGCCUCACAUCACCUGCCUUCCUAAAGAACUCUUUAGUACUUAAUGAGCGUGUUGUUAUUAUAAGUGUGAAGAUGGAAGAUCAAGAUGCCCCUGAGCGAGUUUUUUUUCAACUAAAGCCUUAAAAUACAGAUGCAGGGUAACUUUUGUCAUGGCGUUGCUUAAAAUUGUUUGUUCAUACUCAUGUCACGUGCAUUUGCAGACACUAAUAGGCAUUAGACCUAAAUUGCUAGAUUAUGAGAAAGAUUUCCCAUCCCUGUUGCUUUAUUGACCAUUUUGCACUCAUCAUUUUUAUGUAGACUUACUUGAAAGUUCUUAUGGUUGAGCAGUGGCCGUAUUCCACCAUCUCCUCAAGAGUACCCUAUUUUAGGUCUCAGUUAGUCAGUUUGUAGAGAACUCAAAGAACUCAAAAAAUAAGUCAAAGUGUAUUGCUACAUUCAAAGAAAAGUAUGUGUAACAUGCUCGGCUUAGACAACUCCAAUAAUUAAUGCAGUCGACUCUAUAAUUUCUUUUUUCUCCUGAAGGGAAAAUAUAGCUCAAUUGAUAACUGAUUUCUGAAUUGGUCAAGGACCGAUUGAACCACAAAUGCAGUCAGCUCUACAAUUUCUUUUUUCUCCUGAAGGGAAAAUUCAUUUAAUUCUUUUUUUAGGGAAAAAGAAAGAAGUUGGCUUCGCACCGUACUAAGCGAAUUAAGGGGCACUCACCCCGCAAUUUACAUAAAAGCCCCUCCUUUGAAGGCACACCGUACGCAAUACAAAAGGAAAAGUCCCCAGCGGUCAAACCGGUCAAACCCUUUAUGUGCAGUAAUAAGGCCUUCGAGAAAGGAAAUUUAAUCAAAAUAAAAUAAGAAAAAAUUGUGGAAUUUCUUUCUUCGUAUCCGAUCAACGAAUGAUUUCUCCAAUAAAGGGAAUUCUCGCUCCGAAUUGAGAUGAUCGUAAAUCGUCACGAUCGAUCCGAUUGAGCUCCCAAUCGAGAUCGCUCCUACUGCACCGUCGCUCUUCUUGUCCCCAAUCGCACAUCGCUUCAGGUUCGUCGGUCCCGAUUUCGUCCUACUUUUGUUUCGCACUCGACGGUUCUCCAGUCCUUCAACCUGUCUCCCGUUAUCAAAGAUUUGAUUCUUUUUGCUGCAUCUGGGUGUGAAUUUCUCCCAAUUUUCUCCCUCUUCCCGUGCUUGAAAGAUUCUCGAGCGAGUGAUGUGGAACGUCGUCUACUUUUGCUUGUUUUGUUGAUGCUUUCUAUAAUCUCUCGUUAUGGCUGUCUGCACUUUUUCUUUUUCUUUUAUAUGUAUGUCGUUCCGGCUCGGGCAUGCGUCGACCCUUUUUGUAGAAUGAUGUGAUGAAUGUUCAGGCGGAUAUGUCGGGGCAUGUAUCUGGUCAGUCGGGUGCUCAGUUGCAUGGGGUGUCCCAGCAAAAUGGCAACGUCAUCCCAAAUAUGGUAGCUGCAGGCAGCGGCGCUUCUCAUGCUGCGUUUGGCGUGGACAUGGAUACUCUUGGAGCUCGGCACUAUAUGCAGGAGAAGAUGUAAUUUAGUUUAGAGCACUUGUUCUUGUGCUUUAACCUCCUGGGUUCCACUGGUCCUUGUUUGCUGAUUGAACUUUUUACUGUCCCUUUUAAGCUUUUUUCUCUUAGCACAGCAGCAUCAGCAGCCAAUUGAUGAUUCUCAAAUACAUAAGCUGAAAGAUAUUGCUCAACGCCUGGAAGACGGUCUCUUUAAAUCUUCUCACUCAAAGGUCCCAUUUCUCAUCAUUUCUCUCCUCUUCUUCUUUGUAGAAGUACAAGAAGCGGCUUAUGAUUGCCCUUUAUUGAGUUUUUUUUUAGUGUUUUACAUUUUACAUUUGCGAAAGCCAAUAAUCUGUUCAUUUCUCUUGCCUAGUUUCACCUAUUUUUUCUCGUUAUUAUCAGUAUUUCCUUUCUUUUUGGUAAAUAGUACUUGACAUUCUUUUGCUACUUGAAAAUUACAAUCAUGUAGGAUGAGUAUAUGAAUUUAGGCACAUUGGAGUCCCGGUUGCAUAGUUUGAUCAAGCGUCCACCUCCUAAUAAUCAAAAUCCAGUCAAUCCUAAUGCAAUGACGGUGAUGAUUCCAACCCUUGGAUUGUCGCAUAAUGGGAGUUCGACCAUGAUGGCGACAUCUUCAGUGGAUGCCCCUAUGAGUUAUAUGGCUGGGAAUAGCAGCAUGCAGCCAACAAAUGCAAACACAGUAAGCCUUAUGUCAGACCUUAUGCCAAACAGAAUUUAUCCAAAGGCAUGUACUCUCUAUAAUUUCUUGUUAUGGUUGUCUGCGCCGAUGCCUGGCGGUAUUGGGUGUGGUUUGUUCACUGUGAAUAGAGUUUUACUGUAUGUGGCACAAGCUCAGGCAUGUGUAGCAAGUUUGAAUGAUUACAGGAAGAGUGAGAGCUUUUGUAGAUUGAUGUGAUGAAUGUACAGGCAGAUACGUCAGGGCAUGUAUGUAGUCAAUCGGGCACUCAGUUGCCUGGGGUGUCCCAGCAAAGUGGCAAUGUUGUCCUGAAUUUAGUGGCUGCAGGCAGUGGUGUCCCUCAUUCUGGGUUGAGUGUGGACAUGGAUCUUCUUAGAGCUCGGAACUAUAUGCAAGAGAAGAUGUAAUCUAAUCUAGAGCACUUCUUCUUGUACUUUAACCUCCACAGUUCCAUUGAGUCCUUGUUUGCUGAUUGAACUUUUUACUGUCCCUUUUCAGCUUUGUUCUCUUAGCACAGCGGCAUCUGCAGCCAAUGAAUGACUCUCAAAUUCAGAAGCUGAAGGAGAUUGUUAAACGCCUGGAAGAAGGUCUCUUUAAAUCUUCUCGCUCAAAGGUCUUCCCAUUCCUCAUCAUUUCUCUCCUCUUCUUCUUUGUAAAAGUACAAGAAGCAGCUUAUGAUUGCCACUUAUUGGUUUUUUAUUUUUAUUUUUAUUUUUUAUUGUUACACAUUUUACAUUUGCGAAAGCCAAUUAUUUGUUCAGUUCACUUGCUUGAUUUCACCUAUUUUUUCUCGUCAUUAUCAGUAUUUCCUUUCUUUUCUUUAUUUAUUUAUUUUUUUUGGUGAAUAGCACUUGACAUUCUUUUGCUAAUUUAAAAUUACAAUUAUGUAGGAUGAGUACGUGAAUUUAGGCACAUUGGAGUCCCGUUUGCGUAGUUUGAUCAAGCGUCGUUCUCCUAAUAAUCGAAAUCCAGUCAAUCCUAAUUCAACCAUAACAAUGAUUCCACCUCCUGGAUUGUCGCAUAAUGGGAAUUCGACCAUGAUGGCGACACCUUCAAUGGAUGCACCUAUGAGUAAUAUGGCUGGCAGUAGCGGCAUGCAACCAAUGAAUGCAAAUGUGGGAAGCCCUACGUCAAGUGGUGUCAUGCCAACACAGGAAGCCUUAUCGGAAGCCUUAUCGGAAGCCUUAUGUCAACUUGAAUUGUAAAUGAACAUUUUCAUUCAGAUGUAGGCCUUAUGCAGGAUGUGUUGUUAUGUUUUGAAAGUUGGGGUAUAAUUUGAACGAUUUUUCUUUCCUGUUUCCCAGUAUAUCGAUGAAGAUAUAAACACCCACGCACUUUCAUUUAGAAAAAACUACAUAGGCUUCAAACAGAAUUUACUGGCCCUAAUGAUUAAACAUUCACUUGGAACUUAGACAAUAAAAAGAUGAGAAUGCAAAACGGUAGGGGAUUCAUUCACAUUUCAGAAAAUGUUACGGCUAGAAAAUUCAACUUGUCAUUUCCUAUGAUUGAACAAAAAGAAGCACGACAUACCUAACCUGUGGACUUAGCAUGUAAGAAUGAAUCGCAUGAAGUACCCCAGCUACUAAAGAUUUUUCUAGUGAUCAAACAUACUUGCUUUCAGAGUAAAUCCAGCAUUAGAUAAAUCGCCAUCUCUGCACAUGAUGCUGCAUUUCCCAUGACGUCACCUGGAAUUCUGGCUACUUUUAU